AUGUCUAUUCGUUUGGAAUUGUCAUGUGGGAGUUGCUUACUAGGGAAGAGCCAUACUCUGGUAUGCGUGCUGCUGAAAUUAUUGGGGGCAUUGUAAACGAUUCCCUACGUCCUCAAAUUCCUUCAUGGUGUGAUCCUGAGUGGAAGGGGUUGAUGGAAAGCUGUUGGUCCAGUGAUCCAGCUGAGAGACCGUCCUUCACGGAUAUAUCUCAAAGGUUGAGGAAAAUGGCCGCCGCAAUGAAUGUGAAGUAAAGGUCCGGAAGCCAUAUUUGUCUUCAUCGCAGUUGAUGACCCUACUCCAAGUGAUAAUUUAUCAAGUGCUGACUUCAUGGGAGAACAUCUAUGUCAUGGAGAUUCCAAAGCAUGUUUGAUGUUUUCUUUUAAUCCUAGAGUAAACCGGCUACCAUUUGCCUUCCGUCGAAAACAAGUAUGCUAUUUGGCGCAUUGUCUUGAUGGGAGCUGUUGCACUGUCAUGUAAAUAAGUUUUGACUUGUUGGCCCGUAGUAGAUGUGCAAAGUAAUAGGCACGAUCACACAGUUACUUUUUUCCCCAUAUAAAUUGUGUUCUAGGAUAGGUAGAACGAACAUGACUGGAGCGAUCCUUGUUCAGAUUGUAAAGAAAAGGACAGAGCCAGUGCUGACGGUUCUUAUAUGAGUGGGGUCUCGUCAAAGAAUAACCAAAAACAAGUCU